AGGGAUUUAGCUCAGUGGUAAAACACCUGCCUGGAAAGCAUGAAGUCCUGAGUUCAAUUCCUGGUAUCCCCC
rnacentral:tRNA from 1 species